UUGCUUAAAUUGCCCGGCAAGGAAGAUUGGGAUAUUCGGAUAUUAUUAAUGGAUAAGGAGAGAUAGUUUCGCAUAUAACCAUCAGGCUAGGAGUUUGUGUAUAAAUUUGUAUCCGAUAUGAGUGGUGGUGGUGUGGUACUUGCUUGAAAAUGGAGAUUAAUGACAUUUUGUUCGUAGGUGGAUGGAAUGAUUGUUCUGGAAAUUUGCUAUACGUAUACAACGACUACUCGUAUCGUGCAUGAUAGGAGGUGGAAAGGAAUUGAGAGGCUGUUAAAUGAUGUUGGACAAAAUGGAAAUGUGAUUCAGAAACAGGAAAGGUGCUGUGAGGAUGGGAGUUUCGGGGAUUUCCUGUCUGCACGUCUAUCUUUGUUCGAUGGCCGGUCCAGCAGAUUAUUGAAGACGCCCAACAUAAGCACCGUAGCAGUGAAUGCGUUGAAACUGGGUCCAAUUUAUCGUUGGAUGAAUUGGUAUGAUUAGGGUUAAACUACUAACUACUACUGUUCCUAUUAUAUUAUACUAAUACGUACGGUAGGGAUUAAUUCACAAUUUUUCACUAUUUGUGUCAUACUUGUUAACAUUUUACUUUAACUGAUUAUUGUUGCGGAGUUAACUACUGUGCAGAUUGGAGAUUUUGGUUUGCUGUAUCGAAAUCAUGAGCCAUUAAGAGGUAAUUAUUUAUUUGAAAAUAAUUCAAUGUUUUCAUGCCAUUUUGUUACUGUUUUCCCAGUCUACGACUUGGAUCAUUUUCAAUCAGAUGGUCACAGUCCAGCGAUAUUUAAAACAGGCAUUUCUUUCUCUGAUGAAGGGAAAAUUGCAAUGAUUGAUAAUAAUUUUCAUAUAGUCCGACGGAUUGUUGGGCGACUUUUAGUGGCUUAAUCAUCGCCAAUUAGGCUAUUGGAGGCAUCAACGCACAAGUUGCACUAUUCUCGGGGCCAAAAAUACGUUGAUGGAAAUAUGACCGUCUAGCUCUAGUAGCCCGAAUUGGGACAUUGAAUGACAUUCAAGUUAUCGCACUUCUUCCCAGCCCGUCAUCUUUAUGACAGUCGGUGUGUUGUGCGAGAUAUUGUAGAGACUAACCAAUUUUUUGUUUUUUACUAUCUAAAUUAAUUUAAAGGGCCCGUAUAUAAAUAAGGUAAUUAUCGGGAAUUAAGGAGGGAGAAGAAAAAAAAAACGAUUUCUUUGAACUUAUUCGCUUACGCUUAAAAGUUAGAGCCUGUUCUGCAAAAGCCGUUUAAAAAAUUAAGAAGUUUUUUUUAGAAUAAUGCAUGUGAAAAUGUUGUGCAGUCAAUAGUUGUAAAAUGUGUGAAAUUUAUGGUUGUUUUUCCAAUCGACAUCCCGUGGCUGGCCGUUGGUUAGCAACGUUAGUUCUUAUUACUAAUUCAUAAUUAACUUUCACGGAGCUAAUGACAGGUU